UCCCUGGAGGACUAGUGGUUAGGCCUCAGCGCUCUUGCUGCUGCGGCCCCGGGUUCAGUUCCCGGGCAGGGAA